CAAGGAAUGAAAACCUUAGAUAUAUCACAGAAACUUCAUCGUACUGGUAAAAGAUUUGUGGCUGAGUCACAGCACACACGGGUUACAUGCAGAUAAAGGCACAAUGAGGAAGGUUUCUGCCACACAAAUAUAUCGGAUUAGGAGCCACAUGAACGUCAAGGUGUGGAAUCCUCCAGAGACUUGGAGUUAUGCAUAUGCAUAUGCAUAUGUGCCAUUCUUUUUUAAGAUCGACAUGCCCUGUAAGGACAUGAAGAGGAAACGGUGACAAAAGGAGCUAUGCGCCUCACACAGCUGGAUUAAAAAGAGCACAGAUGGACAGCAAGUGGAGAGUGAUAGAUGAGAUGAGGAGAUGGAAGCAGGAAGACAGGCAAAGAUCUCAGAUCAACACAGCCCUGCCCUCCAGCAUUCUCAGCAGCAGGAGCAGCAGUGACCACUCAACAGCAACAUUGUACCCCAUCAGGUAAAACGUAGGCUGUGUUUGCUUCACAUUGUCCCCACCUGAUGACAGUAAUGAAGACUGUGUCCAAAUUCAUUUGAAGGAUGCUUCAAAUGCCGUAUUUGUCACAGCGACGCGACAAAGCCUGUCCAAAUUCGAAGAGUCCUCCAAAUGUGGUGACAAAUGCGUCCUUCAUUUCCUCGAAUUUUAAAGAUGGGUAGGCUGUAUCCUUCGUGUUCUACCAUAUCCCAGG